UACGGAGGAUGCAAGCGUUAUCCGGAAUCAUUGGGCGUAAAGCGUCCGUAGGUGGCUUUUCAAGUCUGCCGUCAAAGACCGGGGCUUAACCCCAGAAAGGCGGUGGAAACUGAAUAGCUAGAGUGCAGUAGGGGUAGAGGGAAUUCCCGGUGUAGCGGUGAAAUGCGUAGAGAUCGGGAAGAACAUCGGUGGCGAAAGCGCUCUACUGGACCGCAACUGACACUCAGGGACGAAAGCUAGGGGAGCGAAUGGG
rnacentral:rRNA from 1 species